rnacentral:rRNA from 1 species
UAGGGAAUAUUGGACAAUGGGGGGAACCCUGAUCCAGCCAUGCCGCGUGGAGGAAGACUGCCCUCUGGGUUGUAAACUCCUUUUAUAUGGGAAGAAAUGUACUUUUUCUAAAGUGCUUGACGGUACCAUAGGAAUAAGCACCGGCUAACUCCGUGCCAGCAGCCGCGGUAAUACGGAGGGUGCAAGCGUUAUCCGGAUUUACUGGGUUUAAAGGGUGCGUAGGCGGAUGAAUAAGUCAGUGGUGAAAUCUCCGAGCUUAACUCGGAAACUGCCGUUGAUACUAUUUGUCUUGAAUAUUGUGGAGGUAAGCGGAAUAUGUCAUGUAGCGGUGAAAUGCUUAGAUAUGACAUAGAACACCAAUUGCGAAGGCAGCUUGCUACACAAUCAUUGACGCUGAGGCACGAAAGCGUGGGGAUCAAACA